GUACUGAUGAGGAGUCCCAAACAAGGACGAAAUAGCUGUCUAGUAC
rfam:Trichobilharzia regenti genome assembly, scaffold: TRE_scaffold0026008